rnacentral:rRNA from 1 species
AAUCAAGCGUUUAAGGGCGUGUAGUGGAUGCCUUGGCACUGAAAGCCGAUGAAGGACGUGAUAUACUGCGAUAAGUUUCGGGGAGCUGUAUGUAAGCUUUGAUCCGAAAAUUUCCGAAUGGGGAAACCCACCACUUUAUGUGGUACUUUAAACUGAAUACAUAGGUUUAAAGAGACAACCUGGAGAACUGAAACAUCUAAGUAACCAGAGGAAAAGAAAUCAAUUGAGAUUCCGUUAGUAGUGGCGAGCGAACGCGGAGUAGGCCAGUAGUUUUGUUAGAAAAAUUUGAAUAGUUUGGAAAUGCUAACCAUAGAGGGUGAUAGUCCCGUAUGAGUAAUGUCUAACAAAAUUCUUGAGUAAAGCGGGACACGAGAAAUCCUGCUCGAAUAUAGGGGGACCACCCUCUAAGCCUAAAUACUCUUCAGUGACCGAUAGUGAACUAGUACCGUGAGGGAAAGGUGAAAAGAACCCCUAUUAGGGGAGUGAAAUAGAACCUGAAACUGCAUGCCUACAAUCAGUCCGAGCCCUUUUUAGGGUGAGGGCGUACCUUUUGUAUAAUGGGUCAGUGACUUAAUUUAUUAAGCAAGCUUAAGCCAUCUAGGUGUAGGCGCAGCGAAAGCAAGUCUUAAUAGGGCGAUUAGUUUAAUGAAUUAGACCCGAAAACGAAUGAGCUUACCAUGAGCAGGUUGAAAGUUGGGUAACACCAACCGGAGGACCGAACCAGUUGACGUUGAAAAGUCUUUGGAUGACUUGUGGUAAGGGGUGAAAGGCCAACCAAAUUCGUAGAUAGCUGGUUUUCCGCGAAAACUAUUUAGGUAGUGCGUCGAAUAAAUAGAUGUUUAGAGGUAGAGCACUAAAUGGGCUAGGGGGAAGAGAUUCUUACCAAACCUAAUAAAACUCCGAAUGCUAGACAUUGUUCUUCGGCAGACAGACUGUGGGUGCUAAGGUCCAUGGUCGAGAGGGAAAGAGCCCAGACCACCAGAUAAGGUCCCAAAAUCAUGAUUAAGUGUGAAAGGAUGUGGAAAUUCCUUAACAGCCGGGAGGUUGGCUUAGAAGCAGCCAUCCUUUAAAGAUAGCGUAACAGCUCACCGGUCUAAUAGAGUUUCUGCGCCGAAGAUGUAACGGGGCUAAAAUCAUGUACCGAAUCUGUGGCUUUGCAAAGUUUUCGAACUUUGUAAGGGGUAGCGGAACGUUCUGUAAGCCUGCGAAGGGAUACCCGUGAGGGAUCCUGGAGGUAUCAGAAGUGCGAAUGCUGACAUAAGUAACGAUAAACGAAGUGAAAAACUUCGUCGCCGAAAAUCUAAGGGUUUCUAUGCAAGGUUAAUCCGCGUAGAGUUAGUCGGCACCUAAGGCGAGGGCGAAAGCCGUAGUCGAUGGAAACAAGGUUAAUAUUCCUUGACCUGAUGGUAGUGACGGAUUCUGUAAGUUGUGAGUUCUUAAUGGAUUGAACUUGCCGCGAAAGGGUCCCAAGAAAUAGCUCCAUCAUGAAGACCGUACCCGAAACCGACACAGGUAGAUUAAUAGAGUAUAUUUAGGCGCUUGAGAGAAUGAUGUUGAAGGAACUCGGCAAAAUGCUUCCGUAACUUCGGGAUAAGGAAGACCCUUUUGUAGGCAACUAUAGAAGGGUGGCACAAGCCAGGGAGAAGCGACUGUUUAUCAAAAACACAGGGCUCUGCUAACACGUAAGUGGAUGUAUAGGGUCUGACGCCUGCCCGGUGCUGGAAGGUUAAUGCGGUUGGUGCAAGCUAACUUCUGAAGCCCCAGUAAACGGCGGCCGUAACUAUAACGGUCCUAAGGUAGCGAAAUUCCUUGUCGGGUAAGUUCCGACCUGCAUGAAUGGCGUAACGAUUUCUCCGCUGUCUCCAACAUCAACUCAGUGAAAUUGAAUUCUCCGUGAAGAUGCGGAGUUCGCGUAGUUAGACGGAAAGACCCCGUGCACCUUUACUGCAACUUUACAUUGGUGUUAGGAAAAACAUAUUUAGCAUAGGAGGGAGACUUUGAAGCAAAGGCGUUAGCUUUUGUGGAGUCACCAGUGAAAUACCUCUUUUGUUUUUCUUGACAUCUAACCGCUAGCCGUCAUCCGGCAGCGAGACAUUGUAUGGUGGGUAGUUUGACUGGGGCGGUCGCCUCCCAAAUAGUAACGGAGGCGUGCGAAGGUAGGCUCAGAACGGUCAGAAAUCGUUCGUAGAGUGCAAUGGCAUAAGCCUGCCUGACUGUGAGACUGACAAGUCGAGCAGAGACGAAAGUCGGU